CAUGCAGGCGGCCUCGCGCGUUUCGCGUGACAGCGGAUGGCUUAACUGUCCGAGGGUGCGAAAGACGGCGCGGCUGGAGGGCCAGAGAGGGACACGGAAUUCCGGGUGGAGUGGUGAAAUGCGUAGAGAUCCGGAGGAACACCGAAGGCGAAGGCAGUGUCCUGGCUGGUACCUGACGCUGAGGUGCGAAAGCCAGGGGAGCGAACG
rnacentral:rRNA from 1 species